ACUCCUGCGGGAGGCAGCAGUGGGGAAUAUUGGACAAUGGGCGCAAGCCUGAUCCAGCCAUGCCGCGUGAGUGAUGAAGGCCCUAGGGUUGUAAAGCUCUUUCACCGGUGAAGAUAAUGACGGUAACCGGAGAAGAAGCCCCGGCUAACUUCGUGCCAGCAGCCGCGGUAAUACGAAGGGGGCUAGCGUUGUUCGGAUUUACUGGGCGUAAAGCGCACGUAGGCGGACUAUUAAGUCAGGGGUGAAAUCCCGGGGCUCAACCCCGGAACUGCCUUUGAUACUGGUAGUCUUGAGUUCGAGAGAGGUGAGUGGAAUUCCGAGUGUAGAGGUGAAAUUCGUAGAUAUUCGGAGGAACACCAGUGGCGAAGGCGGCUCACUGGCUCGAUACUGACGCUGAGGUGCGAAAGCGUGUGGAGCAAACAGGAUUAGAAACCCUAGUAGUCCC
rnacentral:rRNA from 1 species